AUGAGUUUUCGCUUAAAAGACGUUGGGGUUAUGCUCUCCAGCGCCGCCCAAGGAUGGGGCCGCGACCGAUCAGGUUGUUGGUGAGGUAAUGGCUCACCAAGCCUUUUACCGGUGCGGGCCGUGGGAGCGGGAGCCCGGAGAUGGGCACUGAGACAAGGGCCCAGGCCCUACGGGGCGCAGCAGUCGCGAAAACUUUGCAAUAAGCGAAAGCUUGACAGGGCUAUCCCGAGUGCCAUCCGCUGAGGAAGGCUUUUACCCAGUCUAGAACGCUGGGGGAAUAAGGAGAGGGCAAGUCUGGUGUCAGCCGCCGCGGUAAUACCAGCUCUCCGAGUGGUGUGGAUGUUUAUUGGGCCUAAAGCAUCCGUAGCUGGCUAGGCUAGUCCCCUGUUAAAUCCACCGAAUUAAUCGUUGGAUUGCGGGGGAUACUGCUUGGCUAGAGGACGAGAGAGGCAGACGGUAUUUCCGGGGUAGGGGUGAAAUCCUAUAAUCCCGGGAAGACCACCAGUGGCGAAGGCUGUCUGCUAGAACGCGCCCGACGGUGAGGGAUGAAAGCUGGGGGAGCGAACCGGAUUAGAUACCCGGGUAGUCCCAGCUGUAAACGAUGCAGACUAGGUGUUUGAACGGCCACGUGCCGUUCUAGUGCCGCAGGGAAGCUGUUA
rnacentral:rRNA from 1 species